GACGUAGGUGGCGAACGUUAUCCGGAAUUAUCGGGCGUAAAGGGUGCGUAGAUGGCCUGACAAGUUAACAGUGGUAAACCGAGGCUCAACCUCGUGGAAGCUGCUAAUACUGUCUGGCUCGAGUACAGAAGAGGUUAACGGAACUCCAUGUGGAGCGGUGAAAUGCAUUGAGAUCGGAAAGAACACCAACGGCGAAAGCACUCUGCUGGGCCGACACUGACACUGAGAGACGAAAGCUAGGGGAGCAAAUGGG
rnacentral:rRNA from 1 species